CCUCUCGUGGUUUAGUAGUAGAACUUUGGUGCGUAAAGCCAAAGGUCCGGGGUUCGAUUCCCGGUGGGGGUG
rfam:Agrilus planipennis Contig44735, whole genome shotgun sequence.